AGUGAACGCUGGCGGUAGGCCUAACACAUGCAAGUCGAACGGCCGCACAGUAAGCGCUUGCUCUUACGGGUGGCGAGUGGCGGGCGGGUGAGGCAUACAUCGGCAUCUAAUUUUUCGUGGGGGAUUACGUAGGGCAACUUACGCUAAUACCGCAUACGUCCUACGGGUGAAAGCAGUGGAUCUUCGGACCUUGCGCGAUUGAAUGAGCCGAUGUCGGAUUAGCUAGUUGGCGGGGUAAAGGCCCACCAAGGCGACGAUCCGUAGCUGGUCUGAGAGGAUGAUCGGCCACACUGGAGCUGAGACACGGUCCAGACUCCUACGGGAGGCAGCAGUGGGGAAUAUUCGACAAUGGGCGCAAGCCUGAUCCAGCCAUACCGCGUGGGUGAAGAAGGCCUUCGGGUUGUAAAGCCCUUUUGUUGGGAAAGAAAAGCAGCAGGUUAAUACCCCGCUGUUCUGACGGUACCCAAAGAAUAAGCACCGGCUAACUUCGUG
rnacentral:rRNA from 1 species